GUGGCUGGCACAACGGUGACGUUCCUUCCUUUUUACCACCCAUGAUACCUGAAAUUUUGAUGUGGCACCUUGAAGUUUCAGCAGCUUCGAAACCAACUCAACCCAUAAUGGCAUUAUAUUUCACAAAUGUUCUACUUAUGAUAGAUUUGGAGCAAACAUAAAUUUCAAGAAUUGUCAACAAGCAAAGGCUUAUUCUGUCUACAUAACUAACCUUUAUUUUCAUCUAUAUAUCGACGCCAUAUAUAGGUAGGGGCAGGUAUCCUUGCAAUCCCCGCAGUCACACAGGAAGCUGGAUUCUUGGCCUCAGCAGUCACAUGCAUUUUCUGCUGGAUAUAUAUGGUAAUAGAAUGUCAUUGACUGGGUAAAUUAUCAAACCUGACCUAUUAGAGGUGACAUGCAGCCAGAGAAGCCUCUCAAAGGUAAAUCCUUUUGCACUGUGCUUUCUUGGAUAAAUUCGUGUCAUAAACUGUUCCGAUUUGUGACAUUGUUGUGUCACCUUGACAUAGGAGGGUUUGAUAGUUUCACCCAAUAUUUUGUCUAAUUGACUAACCUGUCUACACUGACCUUUUUGUUUGGCACCACUUUCUCCAGAUUGUAACAGGGUUGUUAGUUGCUGAAGUAAAUGUCAAUACGAUGUGCGAACUAGGAUCUGGAGGUGUCUCCCUGGUAGAUAACACACACAUUCCAGUUCUCUUACUGACAAAAAAAAAAACUCUAUUAGAGGCAGUCAAAAUGAAACUGAAAUUAUGUAGUUUAGAUAAAAAGUGGCAUAUAUCCCGAGGAUACAUGUGUUGACACUUGAUAGAACAUCUCAUUAGUUCCCCGUAGCUUUGCACAUGGUUGAUCCAAACCCAAGUGCUUGGAUAUAUUUUAUUUUUACCUGAGCACAAGGUCGAUCUAUUAAAACUGGCAAAAGAUAGACAAUGACACUCAGUCUAAAUAUCAUAUUUUGCAUCUUUCAUAGUUUGGAAGUAGCAAGCACACUCUGAAGACUCCUUUUUCCAGGUUUCAAUGGCCAAGCGCACUCUAGGGACAUUUGGAGUACGAACAGCUUGGUAUGCAAAAUUUAAUAACUGAGGUUUAUUUAUGUAUAAGAACUCCAAAUCAUUAAAUACAUUGAGCAAUUGUAAUGAGGAUUCCUUUGCAAUGCUGAUUAGUUACAAAUUCAUACUUGAACUGGAGGAUUCUGACCAUGCUUUCCAUGUGUCUGCAGCUUUUCAUAUUUGUUUAUACACUAUGCACUUCUUGUUGCAUAUGUGGCACGCUCUUCAGAUAUCAUAACAAACGCACUGGGCAUUCCCUUGUAUGACCUCUUUUCUUGAUCUUCACUUUACCAUCUAGCUAAUAAAUUUAUUUACCACAGAUUUUGUUGCAAAUAUGGUGUAUCCAUCUUACUAGUAUGGCACUUCAGAACGAUCUAGUGUUUAUAUAUAUUUUACCCUUGUGUUAUAUAACCCUGGAAGAACAAAACAACACCAAGGAAUGGCAUUAUGGAUAAACAGCUAACGCGGAAUUUACUCUAGUUGGUACUUCUACAAUCCACAGAAAUAAUUUCCUAAGCCUAGGCUGUACAUAGCAGUUACUAAGCAUCACUAGUCAUCACAAUGCAUUUGAGUUAGCACUCAAUAACGUAUUAUCAUCAGCUAAUGAUGAUGUUACAUCGUUACAGAUGGGAGAGUGCUGCCCUGUUCUCACUGGCUUUUGGGGGGUUAUGUUACUUUGGAAGGUAUGCAUCAGAUGUUACCAUAAUGUAACAGCAAAAGAAGGUUAAAAUUACAAGCAGAUGUCUUUGUUCUGAGAUUCAUGAUCUUUUUAGUUUAUGUAGCAGAAGCUCCUGAUUACAUUCAAUAUAGCUUCAAGUCCAUGUCUACUUUCUGACUGUUAAAUGUUAAUUACUCUUCCAUCCCAAAUAUAAGAACAAAGGUAUAUGCAAUAAUCAACAUUACAAAUAUUUAUCUUAGGAACUUAUGUCCAUAACUAAUUGGGCUGUUGGGCAAUUUUUCAUCUAAACAUGUUAUACCACAAACCCACACUGUUGUUGCCUGUUGGAUACUUCCUGAGGAGUUGAUAAGCACUAAAACUAAUUGUAUCGAUGACUGCAGUCAGCAAGUCAUUGGUGCGGUGAAUGGGUUUUUGGUGUUCAGUAUCAUAGCAUCCUUCACAUCUCUUGUGGUAAGUGCUACUACUACCAGACAUGCAGUGUGUAAUUAAUAUCAAUGCGUAGAAGAUUUUAGCAGUUGUGAUACGAAAUUUUACAUGAACAUCUCAUAAAUAUGUCGAAAUUCAAUGAUUCUAGAAGUCAACAAGAGAAUGAAACAUGACUAAAUUUGCUCAAAAUAACUUAAGGCCUACUCUUAAUUUUGGUUACAAAAUAUCCUAUCAGAGAAGGAAAAAAAAGAUAGUCCAAGUAUACACAUAGAAUGAGUAAUGUGAGUGAAAGUGUGUAGAUCCCAAUCCUCAUUGCUUUUAGAUAAACAGGUUCUGUUUUGACAGGAAAUGUGGCUAUUUCUUUAGUAAUUCAGUGAUGGUUUGAAUAGAGAGAAAAUUAUGUUCGGUCACAAAGAUAACAUGAACAGACCACUAGGAAAUUUCUUUUGCACGAGCAACAUCCUACAGCAGAGUACAGAGUAUAGAUGGUGAACACAUUGGGUGUGAAUUUCACAGGUGGUGGCAAGUGGAAACAUACAGUUGAGUUCUCUUCUUGAAACAAAUUUUGCUGCU
rnacentral:lncRNA from 1 species